rnacentral:rRNA from 1 species
CAGUAGCCGCGGGAAAACGGAGGGUGCAAGCGUUAAUCGGAAUUACUGGGCGUAAAGCGCACGCAGGCGGUCUGACAAGUCAGAUGUGAAAUCCCCGGGCUUAACCUGGGAACUGCAUUUGAAACUGUCAGGCUGGAGUCUUGUAGAGGGGGGUGGAAUUCCAGGUGUAGCGGUGAAAUGCGUAGAGAUCUGGAGGAAUACCGGUGGCGAAGGCGGCCCCCUGGACAAAGACUGACGCUCAGGUGCGAAAGCGUGGGGAGCAAACAGGAUUAGAUACCCUUGUAGUCCCUGUCUCUUAUAC